GGGGCCGUAGCUCAGUUGGGAGAGCGCUGCAAUCGCACUGCAGAGGUCGUGAGUUCGACUCUCAUCGGCUCCACCA
rnacentral:tRNA from 3 species